rnacentral:lncRNA from 1 species
CUGCUGUCUCUUAAAAGACCUAUAUCUGACACGAAAGGCAGUAGGUAUCUGUGGGAGUUUGUGUGUAUGUAUUUUUUUAAGUGAUUUGCAUUUCGGAUCUGAAAUGGACACAUGAUGGGGUUGGGAGGAAGGUCGGAGAUGAAGUCAUCUGUGCCAGGGCUAAAAAGUGCAUCAAUAGGGAAGGGGUAUGUUGGAGAUGGGGAAAGACAACUCUGAGAGCAGACUGGUCCAGGGCUGACUCUGGAUGACGUGACAAGGAACAUUUAUAUUCAUUGCCUUCUUGGGUUUUGCUUUCUGGAUUGUUUUGAGAGGAAAGAUUUUAUAGUACUUAGCAUCCCCACCUUUGCUUGGAAAACUCAGCUCUCUCUGCACAUUCCUAGUGCCCGUGUUUCUAUAUGGACAUGCUUGUUGUCAUGCUCUUUUUUCCUUUUAUAAAUGAGACUUCCUGUCUGGCCCACCUGGGAAAAGGUGAAAGGAAUAUUUCAUCCAGCAAUAUGCCCAGAGACCAGAAAGCUUUCCAAGGUGCUGUAUGCAUCUUUGAUGAAACCGUCUCUGGGACUGGAAGGUGGUCUCAUGCAGGACAGCUUAACUGGCCAUAGAAAGCAAUGACCAUAGCCACACAGGUCAAAUGAAAUAGAUUGGUAAGUUCAGGUUUCUCAGUGGUUAAAAACUUGAACAUAAGCCCUCCGGGUGGGGUGGGGGGAAAGAGGUUCCGUCAUGAUGUCGCCUGUCCUGGCGGAAGAGUAUAUAGGUCUUGAGAAAUCCGCCUUGGUUUGGGAACAUCAUGUAGCUAUUGUGCUCCAGAAAAGCUGCCCACUUUGGAUGUGAUGAUGCCUUGUGGUGGGCAAGACUGGGGCUGGUUAGAAUGAAAAGUGGUCAUCUUUGGACAGCUUCUGACUGCCAAGAUUUUUCCAGAACAAGUUUUAAAGCCAUGUAUUAAAUAAAGCUAUGUAAGUGGGAAGCUAACUGCAUCUUAUAAAAGGCUUAGCAUGAAAGGCAGAGUCCUCCGUUUGGAGCCUAUUUUGCUAAAUAUCAGGGGUAGGGAAAUCCAAAACCCGUUCAUGUUUCUGCUCUGCCCUGGAACUGGAUUUAGCUGGAGUUGGUCUCUCAGGCUGCAUGAGCCAUGCUUUUCUCCUGCCUGGUGUGGGUAGAGACUUGAGCGCUAGGGUGGGAUCAGGAACUGCUCAUUGACAAAGAGAUUGUUUAAGGUUUAGGUAUGUUCCGUAGCUUGUUUAACAUUGAAACAUAAGACAAAAGACCUGUUAAUCCUUAGAGUCAAGUGGACCUUUCCAAAUGGAGCAGGGAAGUCCCUAAGGAGAGGCCCCUGGGUAGAACCUGCUUCCCAACCUGAAAGCACAGAGAUGAAGGCUCCCUUGGGCCUGUUUGGCCCAUUGCUGUCCAGCGGGCAGUGCUUCUGGAUUUUCUGAGUCAGAGUCUUAGAUGAUAAAGGGUUUCAAAAAUCAGUAGGGUAUUAUAAUAGAAUAUCAAUAUCCCUUGACAUUUUCAGAUAGUUACUUGUGGGGAAGGGGAAGGCUGUUUUGCCCCACCCGUUGGAGAAAGGAGAGGAGCAUAUAAAACAGAGCAUACAGAAAAAUUUUGCUGAUGUGAGUGUUUCCUUGGGGUGAGGGACUGGGAGAGGCGCCAAGGGUGUGCUUCCAUUGUGGUUAAAGCCCUCAUGGUCUCAGAAUAAGAAUGUCUGGUAAGCAGGUGAAGGAUGAUAUGAUUCACUUUGGUGGUGACCUCCUGGUAGUUCAGCUAAGAAUCCAGGUGAAUCAGAUCAAUAGAGGGCAACUGUACAGUGGCUGGUCAGCCUUUCCAUUGCUCAGCAAGAGAUGUCUGGCCUGUGGGCCAGGAGUAUCAGGCAGGUGUUGGAGGAUGAGUUCCAUAGCCAUUUUCUCUGUUCCUGCUAUCUGUUGGGAAAAAAAAUCUCCAUCAAGAUGUGUACCUUCCCUUCCAGAAUGCUUUAUUUGCAGUUAUCCUUAGCUCCUGUGCAGAUGAAAAAGUUGGUGAAAAACUUAAAAUUCCAUUACCAUGAUGAUUUUCAGAAUUUGUAUUAGGGCCUUUGGUUUUUUAAAACAAGGACACCAAAUAUAGAAGAGAAUAGUUAUGUACAAGGUUAAUAAAAGCCCCUCACCUCCACCCCAUGUAAAUCCUAAAGAGAGAAAAUAGCUGAGCUGUAGUGAUUAUUUCCAGCAAAGAAAACUGUAAUUAUGGGGCCCAGCUAGUCUUCAUAAGGGGCAGCCUUGGAAUAGCUUGGAUGCUAUUUUGAAUAUUUGAGAAAAGAGUGACAUUCAUUGUGAAAUGGAAAUGCCUCUGCCCCACUGGGAUUGGGGCAGCUCCCUCCAGGCAUCCUGGGAAUAGCCUAGUUUCCUCUCUUGUGUGGGUUUGGGAAGCACUUGAAUCCAGUAGUCAUUGCUGGAUUGACUUGGGAGAAGCUGAGGGAGUGAAGAAGCUGAGGGAGUAGAAGAGCCAGGGGAGUAGAGAAGCCAGGGGACUGGCAAAUCUGCUUUUCACAUUGGCUCCCAGUCCCAGCUGUCUAACAUCUAGGGAAAUAAGACUUUUUGGAGAGGCUUCUGUAUGUGGGCUAAGAUGAAGUCUUCUGUACGGCAUGAAGGCAUAAGGGAACAAAAACCAUGAAUAGGCUACAGAAAGGAGUGGCCCAGUCACCUGCCUUGAGGUGGGGGGUGGGGGGGAUGAAUGUCCCACGUGACUUCGUGGUUGUGCAAGAGUUGGGCAACACUUGGCCAGGGUGGAGAGACCUUGGCAAAGGUGUUUGCACUCCUAAUAGAUUCCUAUCUCCCCUGUGGGGCAAACAACUAUUAAAAGUUCUGCACAACAUUUUGGGAGGAAGAAAUUGAUUUCUUUAUCUAACCUAGCAUACUGUACUUGUAUUUUCUUGUAGUUUUAUUCAGCAAACUCCCAUUGUAGUGAAGGCACUGGGACAGAGACCCCAGAGGAUUAAGGGAGAGUGAGACCCCUGUGUUUCUGCCCAUAGGAGCCACAGCCCGGUGGGGGUUGGGUACAGGGAAGGACAAGCAUACAGGUGAUGGCAGCUGAGGCAGGAGAUGGUGGACCCCACGAUGGAGAAGUGGUUCUGGAGAGGAAAAGCAGGAUAGAGUUGAGUCAGGAGGGAAGCUCUGCAACCGGAGAGCCUGCAUUCAGGUUGUAGCCCUGCCCUUCCUCGCUGAGGCGUCUUGGAUAAGUUACUUAAACACUCCGUACCUCUGUUUGCCCAACUGCAAAAUGGCAGUAGUUAUAGUCCCAUGUCAGAGGGUAUGUUUUAAUGGUCAUAAAGUUGGUUUUAGCUCCAAGAUCAGAGCGGAGGGGCUUUGCUGACCUUGAGUUAAUGACUGACAACCCCCCGGCCUUAGUUUCCACAUCUGUGCUUUAAAGGGACUGGAUAAAUGCUCCUAUUUUCUUCCUUCUAAAAGUCUCUCAUUCUGUGAUGGGGUGUAUAUUAAGCGCCUGCUGUGUGCCCAGUACUCUGCUGAGCAUGGUGGAAAAGAGAAAGAGCAGAGUAUGUGCUCCCAGCCCUCAGGAAUCUAUUACUCUAAGUGAGGAGAGGACAUUACUAUUCAGGAUAAUAUUGGAGAAUUCGAAAAUAUUAGAAAUUUAAAAUUUGUCUGUAUGGGUGAGAGAAUAGGAAUAGAGUGUUUAGAGUAGACCAGAAUAGGCAGAAGAUCUGACAACAACCAUAAAUCCAAUACUGUAGACAGGAACUCAGACUUGUUUCCCAAAUCCCAAAACUUGGAACACUGCAUUAAUAUUUAAGAUAAAGUUGAGUCGUAGAAAAACAGCAGCUAUCUGUUUAGGAUUUCGAUGAGAUAAGAUCUGUCAAACUCCUUGCUCAAAGCAAUAAUAGGAUCUAAAACAUUAAAGAGACUCACACUGGUUUUCCAUAUAUUUCUGGAUGGUCGUUGUGGUACAGCAUAGUUCUGGUAGAACAUAGCGUUGCGUCUGGUAGAAUAAUUCACCUGUCCAGCGAGUGAUGUGGGAAACCCCAGGGCUCUGCGCUCAGCACUGAGCAGCCUGGGCAUCCCGGUGGUGUUCUCAGCCCCUCCUCUAGAGGGCAGCACACAGAAGUGGCCCCGCAGAACCCUCCAGUCACAGCUUUGGUAGAACUUAGUAUUGCUUCUCGUCUCCUUAUCAAAGAUGGGUUCUGCUCCUAAGGUUCCCCACCCUACCCCUUAGGGACUACAGGUCCUCUCUCCCUAGUGGCAUUUGAACUUAGAUUUUGAGGAUGCUGCCUCCUGCAGCCCUUCUGUUUCAUGGUUUCUCAAGGUAGCUAUGCAGAUUAGACCACAGGUGACCCUGGCCUGCACAGGUGGCAAGAAGUUCAGCAGCACUUGGCAGAUUGAAAUGUGCCAGAAGACUGGUGUAGACAGCAAGGUCGCCUCACCCAGGAACCUGGGGACACCUCCUGAAAGAAGUGAGCCAGGGCCUUCAGUGAGCCUUGGAGAAAGAGUGGAAGCCAGCUCAGGUCAGCAGAUCGGAUGGGUAGAGGCACGAAGUAUGUCCAUUCCCCCCACCAGUACCCCCACUGCUCCUCGCUAACCAUACGUGGAGGGGAGCACAGCCAGUUAGAUGGGGGGAAGGAAGCGAGAUAGAAAGGACAGAUGAGGCACACGCAGCUGCUCCUCAGCCCCAGCCAGUGGCUCAGAAUUCCUGCUCAUCACCCAAGGGGUCAGCGAUGGCCUGGCCUGAUAGGCCAGUUCGUGACAUCCUGGCUUCAGAUGAGCAGACCACAAACCCUCACAGAGCUCUUGGCUGAAUUUCCUCCACAGUAAAGCACCCAGAAAUCCUGUGAUACCCAUCAGUACUCUUCAUUUACAGAGCAGCCUCUAUGCAGGCACUCGUGCAAAUCAUAUCUGCCGUCAAAACACACCUUCACACAGGCACCCACGGAGGUAGGGAGGACAGAGGGGGCCGUGGAGGUUCAGAGGGUGAAAGGAGCGGUGACUUGCUGUUACGGCCCCUCGGAGAAAAGCAGAGAUGAAAACUGUUGAGAACAUGAGUCUGCCGUCCAGGCUGGCGUCCCAAGCACCGUUCUUCUCUCCCACAUUGUACCCUUGUCUCAUUCCCCCCGCCCCCCGCCUUUCCUUUCACAAAAAGAAUUAUUUUUUUUCCCACAUAAGCAAGAUGGAAGCAAACGUUGCAACCUCCAAAUGUAUGAAAUAAACAUGAUUCCUAAUGAGCCUCUGGGAAAGUGCUCACCUUUGAACUUAGCCAAGGAUUAUGGAGGAAAGAAAAUGUCUUAAGAACUUGAUAGAGUGUUAGAGCUUCCUGGAUUUUUUCCGUCAAGUUACAUAUUACAUUUCUUUUCCUUAAUAAGGGCAGUUCCAGAAAUCCUUCCUGGAUGAUGAGACCAUGUCCAAAAGCGGAGACCUACGGUUGGCCACAGAUGCUGGUUUGGGGACUGUCCUCUGGGUGCUAGGCAACAGGAGGGUCAGAGGCACCAUUUCCAGAAUGCUCCUGCCUUCCUUGCACUCAGCCCCCACUCUCUGGGUCCUUGCCAGGCAGGACAGGAGCAUGUAGGCCGUCCCAGGGUGAGGUCUGGGGUGUCCUAGAACACGACAGGAAGCUGUCCAGGGAACCUGGUGGCUUGAAAGUGAUAGGGCCAAGGAGGCCUCCAGCCAAGACAAGCUUUUUUUCCCAGAGACCUUGCCUCUGCAUUGGCCUGGGCUCAUCUCUAUCUCUAUUUUGAAGAAAGAAUAAUAACAUUUC